UGUUAAUGAAAAGAAACCCUAACCACCACCAUGAGGUGGUGGCUGCCGCCUCCUGCCACCACCGGCCGCCGUGUCGGGUGGUGUUGUGCUUGCUUUGUUGUGAUUGACUCGUUUGGGGAAUGCUUGGCCAAAGUGGGCCCAAUGAAGCCCUAAUGGGCCCAAGGAAACCAUAAUUGAUCUACUAAAACCCUAAUGGGCCCAAUAAGGCCCAACCAAUGGACUAAUGAACUAGUAUUGGUUGGAAAACCCUAAUAGCAUAAAACCCUAAAUUAUGGAAAUCGAUCGGCACACACACACACGUGGGAAUUAUUUAAUAACUUGAGAUAUUAAAUAAUAAUCAUUGGAAAAUUAAUCUAUGACAAUAAUGGACUUAAUGGAUUAAUCCUUAUUGGAUUAAGUCCUUAAUGGGUUAAGUAAGAAACACUUAACCCUAAUCAUCAUUUCAUGUGAAAACCCUAAUUUUGGGAUUAUGGGCUUGGACUUGACCCACAUUUGGGCGAUUGGAAAGGAAUUGUGUAUUAAGCCCAAACACACCAUAUGACUUACUUAGUAAAGUGAGGGACUUAAUGGAUUAAGUCCUUAAUGGGUUAAGUGAGAAACACUUAACCCUAGUUGUCAUUUUAUGUGAAACCCUAAUUUCACUUGGGCCUUGAGUUGGGCCUUCCUAUAGGGUUUUGAUGGUUAGACUAUUGAUGGACCAUCCAAGAACAAGUUAAUGGACCAAAGUAAUUAGAUGGGCUUUAGGAUAAGGCCCAUGUGAGGACUUGGGCCAAAUUUGGAAGAUUGGGUCAUAUGUUGGGCCUAGGCCCAUUACUUAACCUUUGGGCUUUUGUAGUGUGAGUUGGACUUUGAGCUUGGAACCCAAUAAUUAAUUGGGUAUUGUUUGAUGUUGACAGUUCGGGAAUCUGUCAAUCAGCAGCUGGAGCGUACAUGCGGGACUUCAGCAGUGCUAUGCUUUAGUGACCCGGUUGGGUCGGUAUCAUGGUAUAUAGGAUGGCGCUAUGUUAGUGACCUGAGGUCGAUAUCCUUGUUAUAGGAUUGUUGCUAUGCUUUGUGAUCUGUUAGAUCGGUUUGACUGUUAUAUAUGCAUGCUAGUGUUACAUGAUGUCUAUGUGCACAUGAUUGUCCUGAUUAUAGGAUGAUGCUAUUUUAGUGACUAGUUAGGUCUGUAUCCCGGUUAUUGGGAUGUUGCUAUGAUUGGUGAUCUGUUAGAUUGGUUUGACUGUUAUAUGAAAUGUGCUAGCGUACGAUAUUUAUGUGCACAUGUUUGUUUGAUUGGGGGUUGGGUUGAGGUGGUCCUGCUUUAUGCUAUAGGCCAACAUACCCGACGAGCGGUCCGGAUAGGUUGUAGGCCCUGCGUGGCGAUACAGACGUACCCAAGGCUCGAAGAGCAGUCCAGAUAGACUGAAGGCCUGUGAGGCGGUCCAGUCAGGCUGAUAACUCAUUAUGCAUGUUGUUAUGUAUUGGUUAUAUGAUAUGGUUAUGUUUGUAUGGCGUUGGUAUUUUGGGGAAACUCACUAAGCUUUGGGCUUACAGUUGUUGAUUUCAUUUCAGGUAUUUCUGAUGAUCACGGGAAGGCGAAGGCGUGACCGUGCACCUCCUAAUAUUUUCAUGAUUGAUUCUGGGGAUACUCUGAUUUCUGAACCAUUUUGAAAACAAACUGUAAUAACUUAAUGGUUUUAAAAUGUAUUAAAAAGUUUAAAUUUGGCUUGAAUUUUAUGGGUGUUACAAGUUGGUAUCAGAGUCUUGGUUUGAGUGAAUUGGAGGAACACUCGUGUGAAUCCAGUCUCAAAUCAAGGAAAGGAUUUUAAAAUGAAUUUUUAAAUGGUUUUCAAAAUAAGUAAAGGAGGAUGCAGGGUGUACGAUCAGCCAGAGCCAGUAAGUAGACCCCAAAAUACCAUACAGUUUAUUUGAUUAUGUGAUAUGUUAGAACAACAUGCUAUUACUAGGCUACGGAUCUUCAGGAAAUGCAUGAUAGAAUUGCCUGAUUACAUGAUGCCUGCUAGCCUAGGGUUUCCUUAUAUGAGAUUGACAUCAUUACUGUAGUUACUUGUGUAUGCAUCACGACUGUAUAUAAUUAAGAUCUUAUAGCCUGAGAAUGUUUGAUUUGGCCUUAUGUUCUAUUCUUUUGAUUAGGGCUUAGGGUAGGAUCGAAUAUUCAAAAGUCUAUGGGGUCCAGCGUUAUGUAUGGCUAGCAUAAACUAGUGCUACAGGGGUGGUGGGAGUUUCAUGNNNNNNNNNNNNNNNNNNNNNNNNNNNNNNNNNNNNNNNNNNNNNNNNNNNNNNNNNNNNNNNNNNNNNNNNNNNNNNNNNNNNNNNNNNNNNNNNNNNNNNNNNNNGUUGUGAUGAUACUUGAGACAAAUAUGGGUAGGUGUGGAAGGUAGUAUGGGCCCGUACUACUGAAAGCACAGGACCCAUACGCGUAGCAAGGAAGUCACAACCCCUAGGGUUUGGUUGGGAAUUGGCUCUUUUUCAUUAUAUGGGUUAUCAGAGACCUUUCCGGUGUGUUACAGAAUGGUGGUUACGAGACGUCUUGAGAGCGGAUUCGAGUUAGGAUCGGGAGCUGGCAGCCAGGAUAGGCCAGCAUUGUCAGUGGAUCGUGUCGGUGAGAUCAUCUGGGAGGAGGUGAUCGAGAUUUGUCCGGGAUCAGAUUCCGGAGAUGUUGGGUCUAUCAAGACCGCCAUGGUUGAAUACCUUGAUGAGUGCUAUGUAGCCAUUGUUGAGACGGCUGCUGCAACAGCUUCAACAGCUGUAACGACGGCAGGAGGAGGAGCUGGUCGAGCAUUCCAGUAUCGGGACUUGUUAUUGGCACAUAUUCUAAUGAGCAGAGGACUGCAAUUAUCUGGGAUCAGGGAGAUGUUCUGUACUUGUUACAUUCCACGGGUUAAGCGGGAGAGUCUGGCACAUGCGUUCUAGAUUGAGGCUUUGGGGGUUUUACUCGAGGCCGGAAUAUGAGUCCCGGGACUCCGGAAAGGAGUAAUGAUUAUGUUCAGCUGGAGUUAUGCAUAUGGAAUUAGAAUGGUUAAUUGAUAUGGUUGGAAUGUUGUUUUCUAGGGCAAGGAAUGUGCCCUUUAAGUUUACGAGCUCGAAGGAUUGAGCAGGCUUAUGACCCUAGGAUCAUGUUGUAUUCCAGCUUUGGGUUAAAUUGGUCGUCGGGAUUGGCGACAGUAGUUUAGCAUUGGUAAGCGCGGGUGGGUCGAUGUGGCAUAAGUAUUUUGGAGGUCCAUUUCGCCUUGGAUCUCUUCGGAUGGUAAGGAUUGAUUGUCCAAUCUAUUGCACUUUCGAGAUUAGAGACUAUGUCUUGGGUGUAGUUGUGGCCCGGUUUAGGGAAAAGGUUGUUUCAAUUACUGCAGUUCAGAGGUGGAUGAUCGAGCUGGUGAGUGAGUCAGGGUGUGAGACCCUGAAUGAUAUGAUUUCUAGAGCUGAGAGCGGGAGAUUUGUUGGAGCACCUUGGGAAGAAGGGUAUUAUAUGGGAGGUCUGCGGAUAGGGUCCCACAUGAUGAUUAUCCAACAUUGUCAGGAUUUAGUGGUUUUAGUAAGCGUUAUUGAUUGGCGGAGGAAACCACAAAGGAAGUAGCUCGUUGUUGAGACAUUAGUUGGAGUAUCUAUCUUUGGACUUUAAGAUUUGGAAGUGGGAUAAUUCGAGCAUUGGGGACUGUUGGUGUCCCUGGGAUUCAGAAAGUGUUUAGCUAGUUACUAGAAGUGUGUGAUCACUGGGGAUUGGCUAGUAAUGGAGCACUAAUUGGUAAGAUGGUGGUUGUAUUUGGAUCAAUCGUUGGUAGUGAGAAAGAUUGGAAAUUUUCCAAUUUUCAGGUAUUGUGAAGACUUGGUCAAAUCUAAGUGGGGGGGAAUUGUCUCCUGAUAUAGAGGCAGGAUUGGUUUUGGAAAUAGGAUAAGUUUCGCAUCAUUGUCAUGAAGGAGGACAACCUAAGUAGUUGUUUGGUUUGUGGGUUGUGUGAAUUGGGAGUUCGGUAAAACUCCCGAGCAUGUGUAUCACGUUUUCCUAGUGCUUGAUAGCAGAAGUCGGGAAACCAGGUUGGAGUUCUAGUCAUGAAUCGAGUUCAGUUUGAUGUAUUCGGUCGAGGGUGUGCUCGACUCUGAAGGUUUUUGAUUGAUAGAUUGAGGGUUUUGUUAGCGGCCAGGGCUUGGUAGUACAUUCAGCACGGGUGUGCUGGUUAUUAGCAUACAUGGUAGACAUGCGGGUCAGGGAACAGAUCACGGAUUUCCAAGAGGAUGGAUGAUUGACAUGAGGCCUAGGGUUAGGCCGGGGUUAGAGUCCACGAAAUGGGUCAGUAGUUCGGAACCGUAAGUGGGUGAGAACAGUUUGCAUGGGAAAGAUCACCAGGGGUGGUCCCAAGGAGAUGCUAAACAGUUUAGAGUGGUCCAGAUGACUGAAGGCCUAGUGAGGCGGUCCAGUCAUGCUGAAGACUUUGUAUGUGUUUCUAGAUUUAUAUGCGAGUACUGAGUAUGCUACUAUGAUGUAUCAACCAGUGGGUAUGUUCCCAAGUAUUGAACAUGUUUCUGGAGUAGGCUGAAGACUCCGGUGUAUUUUUGGUUUAAUCGGAAGUUAUCAUUAGAAAUUGGAUGGGGGUACAGAGGAUCUUGGUGAUCUCAUCAGUUCGGAGUGUUUCAUAGGAUUAAUCUGCUUAGAUCGGGUAAUACUCCAGUUGGGGACCGAGAGUAGAUAUGAAUGGGUAUCCUUAAAUUUCAGGAAGGCUUGGGUUUAGAAUGUUUUGUCGUUCAGGUUUUGGGAACCGGGUUAAACCUGGUUAAGCUAGUGAUAAGACUGUAGGAACGCCACUACAGUCAUGAGACCAAGGAAGCAAUGGAUUGCUUAAGUUUGCGUGUGAUGUAAGGCUACCAUUGGUCAUGUAGCAAUCACUUUUAGCCACGGGUUGGUAGCAACGAGAUUUGACACAUGGAUCCGAUCUGUUGGAUCAGGAGGUUGUUAGAGUUGCAGUGACAUGAUAACUAGUCGUGACUAGCUCUAGGGAAGGAUUUCGUUCGGAGGUCGUGUGAGGAAACUAUGUGGGAGUCCUUUAGAUCCGCGACCGAGUCGGGGCCCGGUAUUUCAGAUGAUUGGCGAACGAGACGAGGCCAAGCAGGUCUCGGUAGAUUUUGGAAAUCAGUCAAGUGGCAGCAUAUUGCUUCAGGCAGAUCAGUGUGCGGGCACUUUCCGCUUUUGGGCAGUAUUGGUAUUUGUGUUGGGUUGCAAAUACAGACGAAAUAAUAGAUUGCUUGGGUGAUGCUAAGUGACCUGCAGGGAUAAUUGGGUCUAUGAUUUCAGUUUUCACACCGGGGACACAAAGCGGACAAUAUUGUGAUAUGUGCCAGAGGGGGAUGUUAUAGAUGAUUCAGUAUGAGCAGUCUGCCAGGGAGCUAGACCAUCCCCAGACUUCAGAUUUUAGAUUGGGUAGAUGUGAUCAUUUACAAGGAAUUCGUUUAUCUUCACGUUUCGAAACCCUUCGAGGGUUGGAUUCGGUUGCCGUGGGAAGGCUAGGGUAUUCUUGUAGUGGUGGCCAUGUAAGUCAAGUUGUCUGGUGGGUAGUAAAUGAUAAGAGACGGUUUCGAGGACGAAAUCAAAUUUAAGUGGGGGAGAGUUGUAACAUCUCGUUUAAAAUAUAGGGAUUUAAAUAAUAAACUCGGGAACCACGAGAAAUAAUAAUUAGCUGAGAGUUGGUUUCGGGAAGCCAAACGACAAGAUUUGAAUCUCUAGGGGUUAAAGUGUGAUUCUGGGACUUAAUUUGUAAAGAUUUUCAUAAGUCAAGGGCUGAUUGGUAACAUUUUGGACUUGUAUUGUAAGGAUCUUCAUAAGGAGGGGUUAAAUGGUAAUUUACGGAUCUUAAUUGAGAAUAUUUUUAGAGGGAGGGGUUGUCUUGUAAAUGUUGGACUUGUAAUGAAAAGGAUUAUUGGAAACAAGGGUUUAAAGGGUAAAUUAGGGUUUUGUUUUGAAAGAAAAAGGAAGAGAGGGACUAUAUGUGUUAUUAUGGAAAUUUGUUCAAUGGAUCGGGUAUUUAAUCUCUUUACCCGUCACCACCUAAACCCUAACCCUACCUUAAUACUUCAGCCGCCAACUUCACCAUACUUACACCCCCUCUCUAGUCGCCGUUAAUGGUGAACCACCGCAAGCACGGAUCCAUUGCUGCAUUGGUGGCGUCGAAUUCAGAACCACUGUAGACACCGCUAUGUCAACAGCCACCGUCGUCAUCUUUUAGUGGAGGCUGAAGACGGAAAUCGAUGGGGUGCGCCAUUUCAGUCGCGAGUAGGGAGGAUUGCGUCUCUGCCGGUUGGGUUCGAGCAUCGCCAUCACCACCUCGUUGCCGGAGGUCGAGGGUAAACAGAAGGUCGUCGUGAAAGACGACGGGAGUCGGGUUUCGCCAUCGGGAGGGGUUGCUUCUUCAUUUUGCCCGAUUUUCAGGCACCACCGUGGAGGUGGCUGUGUUUGGACUCAAGUCCGGCGUGUAAUCGUAUAAGUGGAUGUCCUGCUGGGUUGGGAUCAGGUGGAAACGCCGCCGCCGCUACUGUCGUUUUGGUGUUGCUGUCGCCGCCGUGAGCCGCCGGGGGGGAUGGUGGAUGGACCUUUUGAGAAAAUAAAGAGCAUGUAGGUGUAUGUUUUUGUUGUGUAAGGAUUUGUUGGCUAGGAAAAACCAAGAACAACCACCACCACCUCCGUAAGGUGGUGGCUGCCGCCAUGCACCACCAUGGGUGUGUGUUUCUUAGUGGUUGUGUGUGUGUUUAUUUGAAAUUUAGCCUUUGUAAAGUGUAAUUAGAAUUUGUGUUAAUGAAAAGAAACCCNGGGGGGGCCCGCCGCCACCGGCCGCCGUGUCGGGUGGCGGUGUGCUUGCUUUGUUGUGAUUGACUCGUUUGGGGAAUGCUUGGCCAAAGUGGGCCCAAUGAAGCCCUAAUGGGCCCAAGGAAACCAUAAUUGAUCUACUAAAACCCUAAUGGGCCCAAUAAGGCCCAACCAAUGGACUAAUGAACUAGUAUUGGGUUGGAAAACCCUAAUAGCAUAAAACCCUAAAUUGUGGAAAUCGAUCGGCACACACACACGCGGGAAUUAUUUAAUAACUUGAAAUAUUAAAUAAUAAUCAUUGGAAAAUUAAUCUAUGACAAUAAUGGACUUAAU
rnacentral:lncRNA from 1 species